rnacentral:rRNA from 1 species
UACGGAGGGUGCAAGCGUUAGUCGGAAUUACUGGGCGUAAAGGGCGCGUAGGCGGAGUGGUCAGUCAAUUGUGAAAUCCCGAGGCUCAACCUCGGAACUGCAAUUGAUACUGCCAUUCUGGAGGAUAGGCGGAGAAAACGGAAUUCCACGUGUAGCGGUGAAAUGCGUAGAUAUGUGGAAGAACACCUGUGGCGAAAGCGGUUUUCUAGCUUAGACCUGACGCUGAGGCGCGAAAGCAAGGGGAGCAAACAGGAUUAGAUACCCUGGUAGUCCUUGCCCUAAACGAUGCACACUUGGUGCAGAAAGGCUCAACCCUUUUUGUGCCGUAGCAUACGCGUUAAGUGUGCCGCCUGGGGAGUACGCCCGCAAGGGUAAAACUCAAAA